ACGCCAGCCAGAGGAAGGUGAGUUGAAGAAGGAGAACACACACACACGCACAAAGUUGCAAGGGAGUAUUCACAAAUAUGAGGGAUGACUGUCUAGAGCUGCGCCGUCACAGAGGAUUUAAUCAUAUCUGGAUCCGGAAAAGUUGGAAAAGGGGGGGACACAGAAGCAAAACACAAGGGCAACGCAGAGAGAGAAGAAAAGUUCCCGAGAAAUGUCUCUUCCUCACUCACAGAGGGAGCUGUGUGCUCUGCAGCCGGGCGAUAACAGGGUGGGGGGGGAAGAAAGAGGGCAACGGCGGAGGUGACGAGGGGAGGCCGAGCAGGUGGACAUGAGCCAACACGUCCAUGGGGCAGAAACUGUGGCUCCGGAGAGGAGAGAGGAGGAGAGGAGAGGAGAGGAGGAAUUUUAAUGACCCAGAAACUAGCCCAGCAGGUCUGCAGGGGUUGGAUGCCACAGAUACCUCACUCUAAAUCUCCCACCUCACUCGGUAGAGAAGGACCCCUCUAACCUCUGUAUUUUGUAUAACCCUGCUGCCAAUACGUUUUUUUUUAACUGGUCAGUGUCUCUAUGUGUAGCUCUUUGUAUUUAACAUCCAAAGUCCUGUUUUGUUUAGAUCUUUUUAUCCUUGUAUAAAAGUUAAUGUGUACUUUAAGUGUAUGACUCUCCUUUUCCCUCCAGCUGAUGUCCCUAGUUUCUCUCUGACCCGUCAUGUCACCCUCCCUCAGUCAGAGCGCUGGGAUCUGCUAUUUUCCUUUCUCUGUCAGACUCAGUUUCGUUCUCGCAGGCCUCAGGAAUCUCUCCCUCUCUUAUUCUAAUCAGUUUAGGAGCAGACGGCUGAAUGUCCUAGUGUAGCUUUACUGGCAGUGUUUACAUGGCCCAAUGUGCGCAUGUGACCUGUGUGUGUUUGUGUGUGUUGGCUGGGACAGUAUGAAGGCAGAGAGAAUUUUUGGUUUUCAUUCUUCAUGCUUGCAUCGGUCUUGAGCUUGGUUAUUAUAUUUAAAGUUAUCUAUAGACUACUUUAAUAAAACACUGUUGUUGUUACUGUUGUUAGGAAUGUUUUAUUGUUUUUUAAAUUAAUUAAUCAUAUUCUACACUAUUUUUUAUACCUUCUCCCAUCGACGUAACUAUAAAAAAAUUGGCCUCGUCUCUCUUGAUUUCAUUUUAUCAUAUUUUCCAGGCGUCUGUCUCCCACAUUAUCCUGCUCAGGUUAAAGAAACAAUAUAAACCUGAGAUGAUGUCUGCUGUUGAGAAUUUGAUCAUUAAACUCAAGGAGGAGGUUAUGCUUGUCUGUGUUUGUUUGUUUGUUGGCCGGAUUACAAAAGAACUUCACAACCAAUUUCCAUGAAAUAUUGUUGGGUGGGGUAUGAGUCGAGAAUGAAUGCAAUGAAUUUGGAAUCGGAUCAAGAUCAGGGGGCUGAUCAAGGAUUAUUGUUUUAUACUCUUCAAAAUUGUGAGAUGCAGUAUAGGGUAUUUUUCAACCUAUUUAUUGAUUUUUUACAAUUCAUGGAUCUUCAUAAAAAUCCAAAAUCACAUGUUUAGGGGACUGAUGUCUUUGAUUGUUGAGAUUUGGUAGUGAUACUGAUAAAACUGUGGAUUAAUUGAAUUAAAAUGUGGUUUCGUAAGGCUACUCCAAUGAGUGGCCUUCUAGUUUGGAAAAUGUAACUGAGCGAGUAACUGAAAGUGUAAAAUAUCGUUGCCAAUAAACAAGUAAGUGGACAUUGACACUGACACUAUUAUGCCACUUGACCGGGGUAUCACCUCGACCGAGUGUUGCUGUCGUUCCCAUGGUGACCUGGCAACCCUGGCGUGCAGGUUUUAGCUACAGAAACUUGAGGUCGAAGCAAACGGAGAGAAAAGAGGACGUGGAGGAUCUUUCUGUUCAGGAAGUGGCAACUGUUUGCUUUGCUUGCAUCUCUAAAAAUGGUAUGAAUGUUGCCAUUGGACAGGAUGUUGUACAUCUGUUCAGUUGUGUAAUUGUACUACACGAUAAUGCAAUCACUGUGUGGACACAUCCAUAUCCAUCAUAUGGAGUAAGUUAUAUUCUUAUUGUAUCUAAUCCAGUUCGGAGAGGGGAAAUCACACAUGAUCAGGCUGAUUGCUGUUGAUGAAUACAACUUCCAAACAGCCAAAGGUUACUGGACGGGAAUAAAAAGCAAAACAAAAUAGCCUACUCUUUACUUUAGGACACUCCCUAGCCAAACCUAAUAUACCUCAGUAACUAAUUAUAUAUCUUUUCCUUUUUUUCUUUUUAUCUCCCUCUCUUCCUUUUCCGUCUCCCUGCUUGUUUUUUUUCCAGUUAUGUUUUUUAUCAAUUUGGGAUGUUGGGACUAUGGAUGGGAGUGGGUGGGACGUGGGGGUGUACAGUGCUCAUUGUAAAGUUGAGUGGUAUCUACGUCUUUGUGUUUCUCUCUCACCACUGUCAGGGAUCAUUUCCUAAGAAAUAAAGAGUAUAUAUUGUCAGUGGUGAACCAGAGGGUUUCAGUAUCAAUCGUUUACUCCAUCUGUCCAUGCCUUCAUCUGCCCAAAACUCCAGCAGCCAGAUUGCCAUGAUUUUACAGAUGUGAUCCCCACAGAGGGGUUCUUAAUGAUUUUGCUGACCCACUGACCUCACAUCUGUCUGGAUCAACACUCUAUCAUCAAAUGAAAGCGCAUAUUCAUGGUCUCCAGCAGAUAGACAUGCACAUUUAAAUAUGUGAGACUCCUCACCAAGCACCAGCAUCACGUCACACUUGGACUCUCCACAGGAUAUUCUCUUACACAAAAAACUCAGACAAGAUUCAUGUUAUUUAUAGUGUAUAGGGCAGAUGUCCCACCAUGAUACACAAAUACAAAUAUCCUCAAUGUAUUGUUCUGUUGUUCUAUUUGGAACUUUCAUACAACUGCAGGGUCACGUAGAGGGGUUUAAAACUUUACUUUGAUUUUGAAACCAGGAUUGUUAUGCCCUCUGCCUCAUCUGCCACCUAGUUUCUCUCUUUUCUCUCUCUCUCUCUCUCUCUCUCUCUCUCUCUCUCUCUCUCUCUCUCUCUCUCUCUCUCUCUCUCUCUCUGUGCAGGUGAAGACACUGAUUGCAGAUGAGGGCCUGGUAUGCUGGAGUUGGGGCCUUGAUUGACCAGCUGCCUUUAUAAGCUCCACUCCUGCUCUCAGUCUGCGCCGGACUAUAAGCGAAGUUACAGACCAGCAGCUGGAGUACUGCCCCGACUCCAGCCCCUGCCUGUCUACCUACCUGCCUGCUUGCCUGCCCGCCUGUGUUAUUGGACUUCCAAUAAAUUAUAUUUAACUUUA